AGCACCCGGCUUCUUGCUCACACACUCUCAGCUGUCUCCGUCUCUUCUCUCCACUUCUCUCUCUCUCUUUUCACCCUCCCCGCUUUGAGGGAGGUGUUGGAAGUUCUUGCAGCUGACUGCUUGUGGCUCAGGCUCUGGCCCAUGCUCUUUAAGCAGGCAGAGCUAUGGAUGCCCCAUCAGGGCAAAGGCAACAAAGGCGAGCCUCCCUCAGCCCUGGGCCUGUCCACGCGGAAGGCCCUCAGCGUCCUGAAGGAGCAGCUGGAGGCAGUGCUGGAAGGACAUCUCAGGGAGCGGAAGAAGUGUCUGACGUGGAAGGAGGUGUGGAGAAGCAGCUUCCUCCACCACAGUAACCGCUGCUCCUGCUUCCACUGGCCGGGGGCCUCACUCAUGCUACUGGCCGUGCUGCUGCUGCUGGGCUGCUGCGGGGGACAGCCAGCCGGGAGGUGUGCGCCCAGGGGCUGCUCCCCAACCUCUCCAGCUGUGCUGUCCAUCCUGCCGCGGCACCUGGGACAGACCAGGGCUCUUGGGGGCUGUCACCCCCAAGCUGCUCCUGGGAUGUAAGGGAACCUCCUCAGUCCCUUGAAUGGGGUCAGAGGCCUAGCUGGUGUCAGGGCACCAGAACGGGACAGUCUUUCCACAAGGGACUGGGGUGGGAAGGGGAGCUAUGGCCUGGGGGCUGCUGGGUGGGCGAGCCCUCACUCCCUGUGGGUGCGGCCUCUCUUUCCUCCCACCAGCCGUGGGGUGGGGCUGGUGAAUGCCUCAGCCUUGUUCCUGUUACUGCUUCUCAACCUUGUGCUCAUCGGGCGGCAAGACCGGCUGAAGCGUCGGGAGGUAGAGCGGAGGCUGCGAGGGAUCAUUGAUCAAAUCCAAGAUGCCCUCAGGGAUGGCAGGGAGAUCCAGUGGCCCAAUGCCAUGUAUCCAGACCUCCACAUGCCUUUUGCACCAUCCUGGUCCUUGCACUGGGCCUACAGAGACGGACACCUGGUCAACCUGCCAGUCAGCCUGCUGGUUGAAGGAGACAUCAUAGCUUUGAGGCCUGGCCAGGAAUCGUUUGCUUCUCUGAGGGGGAUCAAGGAUGACGAGCACAUCGUCCUGGAGCCGGGAGACCUCUUCCCCCCCUUCUCCCCUCCACCCUCACCCCGGGGAGAAGUGGAGAGAGGGCCACAGAGCCCCCAGCAGCACCGGCUUUUCCGUGUCCUUGAGACCCCUGUGAUUGACAACGUCAGAUGGUGCCUGGACAUGGCCCUGUCCCGACCAGUCACUGCCCUGGACAAUGAGCGGUUCACAGUGCAGUCGGUGAUGCUACACUAUGCUGUGCCCGUGGUCCUGGCCGGCUUCCUCAUCACCAAUGCCCUGCGCUUCAUCUUCAGUGCCCCGGGGGUCACUUCCUGGCAGUACACCCUCCUCCAGCUCCAGGUGAAUGGCGUCCUGCCCAUCCUCCCCCUGCUCUUUCCAGUCCUCUGGGUUCUGGCAACUGCCUGUGGAGAGGCCCGUGUCCUGGCCCAGAUGAGCAAGGCCUCACCCAGCUCCCUGCUGGCUAAGUUCUCAGAGGAUACUCUCAGCAGCUAUACGGAGGCUGUCUCCUCUCAGGAAAUGCUGCGCUGCAUUUGGGGCCACUUCCUGAGGGUGCUCGGGGGGACAUCGCCAACGCUGAGCCACAGUUCCAGCCUGCUGCACAGCCUGGGCUCUGUCACGGUCCUGUGCUGUGUGGACAAACAGGGGAUCCUGUCAUGGCCAAAUCCCAGCCCAGAGACUGUACUGUUCUUCAGCGGGAAGGUGGAGCCCCCUCACAGCAGCCACGAGGACCUCACCGAUGGCCUAUCCACCCGCUCCUUCUGCCAUCCCGAGCCCCAUGAACGAGACGCCCUCCUGGCUGGCUCCCUGAACAACACCCUGCACCUUUCCAAUGAGCAGGAGCGUGGCGACUGGCCUGGCGAGGCUCCCAAGCCCCCCGAGCCCUAUUCACACCACAAAGCGCAUGGCCGCAGCAAACACCCAUCUGGCUCCAACGUGAGCUUCAGCAGGGACACCGAGGGUGGUGAAGAAGAGCCCAGCAAGACCCAGCCUGGGAUGGAGAGCGACCCCUACGAAGCAGAGGACUUUGUGUGUGACUACCACCUGGAGAUGCUGAGCCUGUCCCAGGACCAGCAGAACCCCUCCUGCAUCCAGUUUGAUGACUCCAACUGGCAGCUGCACCUCACCUCCCUCAAACCCCUGGGCCUCAAUGUGCUGCUGAACCUGUGUGAUGCCAGCGUCACCGAGCGCCUGUGCCGAUUCUCCGACCACCUGUGCAACAUCGCCCUGCAAGAGAGCCACAGCGCCGUGCUGCCCGUCCAUGUGCCCUGGGGCCUCUGCGAGCUUGCCCGCCUCAUUGGCUUCACUCCUGGGGCCAAGGAGCUUUUCAAGCAGGAGAACCAUCUGGCGCUGUACCGCCUCCCCAGUGCCGAGACAAUGAAGGAGACAUCGCUGGGGCGGCUCUCCUGUGUCACCAAGCGGCGGCCUCCCCUCAGCCACAUGAUCAGCCUCUUCAUUAAAGACACCACCACCAGUGAGCCCUGGCUACGUUGGCCAGCACCAGGCGAGACCUUCCAGAGCUUGGCAGGGGGGCUCUGCCCAGCCCCACCCAUUGCUAGGGAGGCCUGGGCAGAUGAAAAGUAGACUGCUUCCAAGUGUUCCACUCUGGCAGGGCUGGAAUUGGGGACCAGGGCUGGGAUGUUGGCUGCAGAGGCCGGGAUUGUCCAAAGGAUGAGAAUAUGGUGUCUGCAUUCCAAGCCCAGUGGCAUUGCAGAGCCUUGCUGACCGUGAGUCCCAGGGAGUCUCCUCCUCUGGCAGGGGCUCCUCAGCGCGCUUUUCCAGGAGGACAGUGUGUUGCCUGUCAGGUCAGCGUGAGGGGGCUGGUUAGCGACACUCAGGGUUUGAACUCUCUCCCCCAGGCACAGAGCAGAUGCUGUCCCAUGGCACCGCUGAUGUGGUCUUAGAGGCCUGCACAGACUUCUGGGACGGAGCUGACAUCUACCCUCUCUCGGGAUCUGACAGAAAGAAAGUGCUGGACUUCUACCAGCGAGCCUGCCUGUCUGGGUAUUGCUCUGCCUUCGCCUACAAGCCCAUGAACUGCGCCCUGUCCUCUCAGCUCAACGGCAAGUGCAUCGAGCUGGUACAGGUGCCCGGCCAAAGCAGCAUCUUCACCAUGUGCGAGCUGCCCAGCACCAUCCCCAUCAAGCAGAACGCCCGCCGCAGCAGCUGGAGCUCUGACGUACCAGGCCCGGCUGGACAUCGUGCGCCUCAUUGAUGGGCUUGUCAACGCCUGCAUCCGCUUUGUCUACUUCUCUUUGGAGGAUGAGCUCAAAAGCAAGGUGUUUGCAGAAAAAAUGGGCCUGGAGACAGGCUGGAACUGCCACAUCUCCCUCACACCCAAUGGUGACAUGCCUGGCUCCGAGAUCCCCCCCUCCAGCCCCAGCCACGCAGGCUCCCUGCAUGAUGACCUGAAUCAGGUGUCCCGAGAUGAUGCAGAAGGGCUCCUCCUCAUGGAGGAGGAGGGCCACUCGGACCUCAUCAGCUUCCAGCCUACGGACAGCGACAUCCCCAGCUUCCUGGAGGACUCCAACCGGGCCAAGCUGCCCCGGGGUAUCCACCAAGUGCGGCCCCACCUGCAGAACAUUGACAACGUGCCCCUGCUAGUGCCCCUUUUCACCGACUGCACCCCAGAGACCAUGUGUGAGAUGAUAAAGAUCAUGCAAGAGUACGGGGAGGUGACCUGCUGCCUGGGCAGCUCUGCCAACCUGCGGAACAGCUGCCUCUUCCUCCAGAGCGACAUCAGCAUUGCCCUGGAUCCCCUGUACCCAUCCCGUUGCUCCUGGGAGACCUUUGGCUACGCCACCAGCACCAGCAUGGCCCAGGCCUCGGAUGGCCUUUCUCCCCUGCAGCUGUCAGGGCAGCUCAACAGCCUGCCCUGUUCCCUGACCUUUCGCCAGGAGGAGACCAUCAGCAUCAUCCGGCUUAUCGAACAGGCUCGGCAUGCCACCUAUGGCAUCCGUAAGUGCUUCCUCUUCCUGCUGCAGUGCCAGCUGACUCUUGUGGUCAUCCAGUUCCUUUCUUGCCUGGUCCAGCUGCCGCCACUCCUGAGUACCACCGACAUCCUGUGGCUGUCCUGCUUUUGCUACCCUCUGCUCAGCAUCUCUCUGCUGGGGAAGCCCCCCCAUAGCUCUAUCAUGUCUAUGGCAACGGGGAAAAACCUCCAGUCCAUUCCCAAGAAGACCCAGCACUACUUCCUGCUCUGCUUCCUGCUCAAGUUCAGCCUCACCAUCAGCUCCUGCCUCAUCUGCUUUGGCUUCACACUGCAGAGCUUCUGUGACAGCUCCCGGGACCGCAACCUCACCAACUGCUCCUCCGUCAUGCUGCCCAGCAACGACGACAGGGCUCCAGCCUGGUUUGAGGACUUUGCCAAUGGACUGCUGUCGGCUCAGAAGCUCACGGCCGCCCUGAUUGUCCUGCACACUGUCUUCAUUUCCAUCACCCAUGUGCAUCGCACCAAGCCCCUGUGGAGAAAGAGCCCCUUGACCAACCUCUGGUGGGCCGUGACAGUGCCUGUGGUGCUGCUGGGUCAGGUGGUCCAGACGGCUGUGGACCUGCAGCUGUGGACACACAGGGACAGCCACGUCCACUUUGGCCUGGAGGACGUGCCCCUGCUGACAUGGCUCCUGGGCUGCCUGUCCCUGGUCCUUGUGGUGGUGACCAAUGAGAUCGUGAAGCUACAUGAGAUUCGGUGAGCUGUCAGCAGGGCGCCUCCCUCUGGGGUCAGGGUCCGAGUCCGCUACCAGAAGCGACAGAAGCUGCAGUUUGAAACUAAGCUGGGCAUGAACUCUCCCUUCUGAGCCACUGGCUGUGGUGGCUGUAGUUCCCCCAUCCCUGGGGCUAAAGCCAGACCCAUUUCUGAACAGGGGAGUUUGUAUCAUGAAUGUUUCCAGGUUUGCUCCUGCACCCGUGGCACUGGAAACCCAGCUCCCCGUGUCAGACCCCGCUGUCUUCCUGAGCCCUGGGGCUCACUGUGGAGGAGCUGACGGCCUGGGCCCUUGGCCAGUCCUGGCUCUUCCCUGGGCCUCACCAGGGACACUCUUGAAUGUAUGGCCUCAGGCGCUCCCUAGAGGGGCCCUCAACCCCCUCACCUGUGAGCUACCCCCUUUAGGGAUCCCUUGCCCCCUUGGAGAUCCCUUGCCCCCCAGUGCCUCUGCUCGUGGGUCCCUGGACACGGCCUUGAAGCCAACCUUCUUUGGAGGAGCAAGAGCAGCAGCCUUGGCCGACGCGUCCAACUCCCAAGGCUGCUGUGGAGGGCAGGGGGGUGGUGCUUGCCUGGAUGUGGCCCCGAGUGCCUCCCCUCCCUCUGUCUGUGGGGGAGUCUCCCGCCUGAACCUGAAGAUGGAGCAGGGCCCCCGCUUCGCCCUGGAGCCUCUUCCUGUGCCUGGCUCAAGCUGGCUGCCUGUCAGUCUUGGGGAAUCUGGCCCAGGUCUCCUCAGCCUCUGCCCCAGUUCUGGGAGAAGUUUCUACUGGUGUAUAUUUUUUACUGGAAAUGAGCCUUUUAGGAAUGAAUGUAGACUGGUUUGUAUUAAAAUGUGUCAAUUGCUAAGAAAUA
rnacentral:sRNA from 1 species